rnacentral:tmRNA from 1 species
GGGGGUGAAAUUGGUCUCGACGGGGUAUCUUGUGCGAUGAGACGCGUGCCGUGUUCACCGAAAACACGUUAAAAAGACGGUAAAAACAUAACUGGCGAAAAUACUUACGCCCUAGCAGCUUAAUUUAAGCUGCCGUUCCUCUCUUCCAUUUGUGCCGGGUUGAGUGGGGCGCCGUUCAGGUGCAAUAGCCGAGCUUAGAACCGGGUAAGCAAAGCGAAUUUUUUAACCGGUUGAGUUCUUAAAUAUCCUGUCUUUCGGAGAUUUUCGAGCAAUAAAAACAAAAGAUUGACUACGCACGUAGCUUGGAUCACCGGGCUUUUAUUUCGGACGCGGGUUCGACUCCCGCCACCUCCACCA